rnacentral:rRNA from 1 species
UUACAGGCUUAACACAUGCAAGUCGAGGGGCAGCAUUUUAGUUUGCUUGCAAACUGAAGAUGGCGACCGGCGCACGGGUGAGUAACACGUAUCCAACCUGCCGAUAACUCCGGGAUAGCCUUUCGAAAGAAAGAUUAAUACCGGAUAGCAUACGAAUAUCGCAUGAUAUUUUUAUUAAAGAAUUUCGGUUAUCGAUGGGGAUGCGUUCCAUUAGUUUGUUGGCGGGGUAACGGCCCACCAAGACUACGAUGGAUAGGGGUUCUGAGAGGAAGGUCCCCCACAUUGGAACUGAGACACGGUCCAAACUCCUACGGGAGGCAGCAGUGAGGAAUAUUGGUCAAUGGGCGCGAGCCUGAACCAGCCAAGUAGCGUGAAGGAUGAAGGCUCUAUGGGUCGUAAACUUCUUUUAUAUGGGAAUAAAGUUUUCCACGUGUGGAAUUUUGUAUGUACCAUAUGAAUAAGGAUCGGCUAACUCCGUGCCAGCAGCCGCGGUAAUACGGAGGAUCCGAGCGUUAUCCGGAUUUAUUGGGUUUAAAGGGAGCGUAGGUGGAUUGUUAAGUCAGUUGUGAAAGUUUGCGGCUCAACCGUAAAAUUGCAGUUGAAACUGGCAGUCUUGAGUACAGUAGAGGUGGGCGGAAUUCGUGGUGUAGCGGUGAAAUGCUUAGAUAUCACGAAGAACUCCGAUUGCGAAGGCAGCUCACUAGACUGUCACUGACACUGAUGCUCGAAAGUGUGGGUAUCAAACAGGAUUAGAUACCCUGGUAGUCCACACAGUAAACGAUGAAUACUCGCUGUUUGCGAUAUACAGUAAGCGGCCAAGCGAAAGCAUUAAGUAUUCCACCUGGGGAGUACGCCGGCAACGGUGAAACUCAAAGGAAUUGACGGGGGCCCGCACAAGCGGAGGAACAUGUGGUUUAAUUCGAUGAUACGCGAGGAACCUUACCCGGGCUUAAAUUGCAACAGAAUAUAUUGGAAACAGUAUAGCCGUAAGGCUGUUGUGAAGGUGCUGCAUGGUUGUCGUCAGCUCGUGCCGUGAGGUGUCGGCUUAAGUGCCAUAACGAGCGCAACCCUUAUCUUUAGUUACUAACAGGUCAUGCUGGGGACUCUAGAGAGACUGCCGUCGUAAGAUGUGAGGAAGGUGGGGAUGACGUCAAAUCAGCACGGCCCUUACGUCCGGGGCUACACACGUGUUACAAUGGGGGGUACAGAAGGCGGCUACCUGGUGACAGGAUGCUAAUCCCAAAAACCCCUCUCAGUUCGGAUCGAAGUCUGCAACCCGACUUCGUGAAGCUGGAUUCGCUAGUAAUCGCGCAUCAGCCAUGGCGCGGUGAAUACGUUCCCGGGCCUUGUACACACCGCCCGUCAAGCCAUGAAAGCCGGGGGUACCUGAAGUACGUAACCGCAAGGAGCGUCCUAGGGUAAAACUGGUAAUUGG